rnacentral:sRNA from 1 species
UUUAUGGAACACAUGGAUUGGCUCAGUGCCAAC